rnacentral:rRNA from 1 species
UAGGGAAUCUUCUGCAAUGGACGAAAGUCUGACCGAGCAACGCCGCGUGAGUGAAGAAGGUUUUCGGAUCGUAAAACUCUGUUGUUAGAGAAGAACAAGGACGUUAGUAACUGAACGUCCCCUGACGGUAUCUAACCAGAAAGCCACGGCUAACUACGUGCCAGCAGCCGCGGUAAUACGUAGGUGGCAAGCGUUGUCCGGAUUUAGUGGGCGUAAAGCGAGCGCAGGCGGUUUCUUAAGUCUGAUGUGAAAGCCCCCGGCUCAACCGGGGAGGGUCAUUGGAAACUGGGAGACUGGAGUGCAGAAGAGGAGAGUGGAAUUCCAUGUGUAGCGGUGAAAUGCGUAGAUAUAUGGAGGAACACCAGUGGCGAAGGCGGCUCUCUGGUCUGUAGCUGACGCUGAGGCUCGAAAGCGUGGGGAGCAAACAGG